UUCCGGGGCAUCUGUACACAUUCGAGGUUGAAGUUGAAACAGAUGAGUUGACUUCCACCGAGUUUGUUUUUGAGUUCGAGAUCCAGUUCGACUAUUCACUUGUAGAAAGGCCCGAAGAAUGGGAAGUAAAAGAAUGUGGGAUGCUUCAACUCUUGGAGGUCCCUUCCCUUCAUGCUGAUAAACAUUAUUGACAGCUUCAAAGAGAUUGUGAACCUUCAGGCAUUGAAAUCUGGAACAACCUUGAGACAGAAGCAUUUGGAGAAUAACAGUGAAAAAUUCCCGGAGCUUGUUCGUGAAGAUGAUGGUGACAACAGACAACUUCUCUUUAUUAUUCUUCCCUAACAAAAGUAUUUUCUUGUGCUAUUAAUCGAGAAGGAGCUGCUGUUGGUGUAGCAAACGGUCGUCACAUCUGCCCAUCACAGCUUAGCCUCUAUCGCAAGUUCACUCUGUUUCUUGGAACUCAACAUUUGGAACAUAUGCAUAUUGUAUACGGCCUAA